GACGAACGCUGGCGGCGUGCUUAACACAUGCAAGUCGAACGGAGUGCCCAUGAUUGAGGUUUCGGCCAAAUGAUUGGGUUACUUAGUGGCGGACUGGUGAGUAAACGCGUGAGGAACCUGCCUUUCAGAGGGGGACGAACAGUUGGAAACGACUGCUAAUACCGCAUGACAUAUAUUAAGGGCAUCCUUGAUAUAUCAAAGAUUUAUCGCUGAAAGAUGGCCUCGCGUCCGAUUAGAUAGUAGGCGGGGUAACGGCCCACCUAGUCGACGAUCGGUAGCCGGACUGAGAGGUUGACCGGCCACAUUGGGACUGAGAUACGGCCCAGACUCCUACGGGAGGCAGCAGUGGGGAAUAUUGGGCAAUGGACGCAAAGUCUGACCCAGCAACGCCGCGUGAAAGGAAGAAGGCUUUCGGGUUGUAAACUUCUUUUAAGAGGAAGAGUAGAAGACGGUACCUCUUGAAUAGGCCACGGCUAACUACGUGCCAGCAGCCG
rnacentral:rRNA from 1 species